UGGGGAAUAUUGCACAAUGGGCGCAAGCCUGAUGCAGCCAUGCCGCGUGUGUGAAGAAGGCCUUCGGGUUGUAAGGCACUUUCAGCGAGGAGGAAGGUGGUGAGCUUAAUACGCUCAUCAAUUGACGUUACUCGCAGAAGAAGCACCGGCUAACUCCGUGCCAGCAGCCGCGGUAAUACGGAGGGUGCAAGCGUUAACCGGAAUUACUGGGCGUAAAGCGCACGCAGGCGGUUUGUUAAGUCAGAUGUGAAAUCCCCGGGCUCAACCUGGGAACUGCAUUUGAAACUGGCAAGCUAGAGUCUCGUAGAGGGGGGUAGAAUUCCAGGUGUAGCGGUGAAAUGCGUAGAGAUCUGGAGGAAUACCGGUGGCGAAGGCGGCCCCCUGGACGAAGACUGACGCUCAGGUGCGAAAGCGUGGGGCAGCAAACAGGAUUAGAUACCCUGGUAGUCCAGCGCUGUAAAACGAUGUCGAUUUUGGAGGUUGUGCCCUUGAGGCGUGGCUUCCGGAGCUAACGCGUUAAAUCGACCGCCUGGGGAGUACGGCCGCAAGGUUAAAACUC
rnacentral:rRNA from 1 species